AGUGGAGUAUGUGGUUUAAUUCGAAGCAACGCGAAGAACUCCAGGGCUUGACAUCCCUUGAAGCAGCUAGAGAUAGCUGUGUCCUUCGGGACAAGGAGACAGGUGGUGCAUGGUUGUCGUCAGCUCGUGUCGUGAGAUGUUGGGUUAAGUCCCGCAACGAGCGCAACCCCUGUGGUUAGUUGUCAGCAAGUAGCGUUGGGCACUCUAGCCAGACUGCCGGUGAUAAAUCGGAGGAAGGUGGGACGACGUCAAAUCAUCAUGCCCUUUAUGUCCUGGGCUACACACGUGCUACAAUGGCCGGUACAGACGGACGCAAAGCCGCGAGGUGGAGCAAAUCCUAAAAAGCCGGUCUCAGUUCGGAUUGCAGGCUGCAAUUCGCCUGCAUGAAGUCGGAAUCGCUAGUAAUCGCAGGUCAGCAUACUGCGGUGAAUACGUUCCCGGGCCUU
rnacentral:rRNA from 1 species